UACGGAGGGGGCUAGCGUUGUCCGGAUUUAUUGGGCGUAAAGAGCUCGUAGGCGGCUUGGUAAGUCGGGUGUGAAACCUCCAGGCUCAACCUGGAGACGCCACUCGAUACUGCUAUGGCUAGAGUCCGGAAGAGGAGAGUGGAAUUCCUGGUGUAGCGGUGAAAUGCGCAGAUAUCAGGAAGAACACCCGUGGCUAAGGCGGCUCUCUAGUACGGUACUGACGCUGAGACGCGAAAGCGUGGGGAGCGAACAGG
rnacentral:rRNA from 1 species